rnacentral:rRNA from 1 species
GUGCCAGCCGCCGCGGUAAUACGUAGGUGACGAGCGUUAUCCGGAAUUACUGGGCGUAAAGCGCACGCAAGCGGUCUAACAAGUCUGGCGUGAAAUCCUCUGGCUUAACCAGGGGCGGUCGCUGGAGACUGUUAAACUUGAGGCGAUGAGAGGGGUGCAGAAUUCCCGGUGUAGUGGUGGAAUGCGUAGAUAUCGGGGGGAAUACCAGUGGCGAAAGCGGCACCCUGGCGUCGUACUGACGCACAUGUGCGAAAGCGUGGGGAGCGAACGGGAUUAGAAACCCUCGUAGUCC